AUUGAACGCUGGCGGCAGGCCUAACACAUGCAAGUCGAGCGAGCGGCGGACGGGUGAGUAAUGUCUGGGAAACUGCCUGAUGGAGGGGGAUAACUACUGGAAACAGGAGCUAAUACCGCAUACCCUCAGAUGUGCCCAGAUGGGAUUGGCUAGUAGGUGGGGUAACGGCUCACCUAGGCGACGAUCCCUAGCUGGGCUGAGAGGAUGACCAGCCACACUGGAACUGAGACACGGCCCAGACUCCUACGGGAGGCAGCAGUGGGGAAUAUUGCACAAUGGGCGCAAGCCUGAUGCAGCCAUGCCGCGUGUGUGAAGAAGGCCUUCGGGUUGUAAAGCACUUUCAGCGGGGAGGCGUUACCCGCAGAAGAAGCACCGGCUAACUCCGUGCCAGCAGCCGCGGUAAUAC
rnacentral:rRNA from 1 species